CCAAAGGCUCUUUUCAGAGCCACCCCAAUGGUCCUUUUGGAAGGGCU
rfam:Cricetulus griseus cell line CHO-K1, whole genome shotgun sequence.